rnacentral:rRNA from 1 species
UACGGGGGGUGCGAGCGUUGUCCGGAAUCACUGGGCGUAAAGGGCGCGUAGGUGGCCUGAUAAGGGUGUGGUGAAAGUCCGGGGCUCAACCCCGGAUCUGCCGUGCCGACUGUCAGGCUAGAGUACUGUAGGGGCAGGCGGAAUUCCGGGUGUAGCGGUGGAAUGCGUAGAGAUCCGGAGGAAGACCGGUGGCGAAGGCGGCCUGCUGGGCCAAGACUGACGCUGAGGCGCGACAGCGUGGGGAGCAAACAGG